rnacentral:rRNA from 1 species
GGGUUGUGAGGUUAAGCGACUAAGCGUACACGGUGGAUGCCCUGGCAGUCAGAGGCGAUGAAGGGCGUGCUAAUCUGCGAUAAGCGCCGGUAAGGUGAUAUGAACCGUUAUAACCGGCGAUACCCGAAUGGGGAAACCCAGUGUGAUUCGUCACACUAUCAUUAACUGAAUCCAUAGGUUAAUGAGGCGAACCGGGGGAACUGAAACAUCUAAGUACCCCGAGGAAAAGAAAUCAACCGAGAUUCCCCCAGUAGCGGCGAGCGAACGGGGAGGAGCCCAGAGCCUGAAUCAGCAUGUGUGUUAGUGGAAGCGUCUGGAAAGGCGCGCGAUACAGGGUGACAGCCCCGUACACAAAAGCGCAUGUGCUGUGAGCUCGAUGAGUAGGGCGGGACACGUGGUAUCCUGUCUGAAUAUGGGGGGACCAUCCUCCAAGGCUAAAUACUCCUGACUGACCGAUAGUGAACCAGUACCGUGAGGGAAAGGCGAAAAGAACCCCGGCGAGGGGAGUGAAAAAGAACCUGAAACCGUGUACGUACAAGCAGUGGGAGCACAGGUUUACCUGUGUGACUGCGUACCUUUUGUAUAAUGGGUCAGCGACUUAUAUUCUGUAGCAAGGUUAACCGAAUAGGGGAGCCGGAGGGAAACCGAGUCUUAAUUGGGCGUUAAGUUGCAGGGUAUAGACCCGAAACCCGGUGAUCUAGCCAUGGGCAGGUUGAAGGUUGGGUAACACUAACUGGAGGACCGAACCGACUAAUGUUGAAAAAUUAGCGGAUGACCUGUGGCUGGGGGUGAAAGGCCAAUCAAACCGGGAGAUAGCUGGUUCUCCCCGAAAGCUAUUUAGGUAGCGCCUCGUGAAUUCAUCUCCGGGGGUAGAGCACUGUUUCGGCUAGGGGGCCAUCCCGGCUUACCAACCCGAUGCAAACUGCGAAUACCGGAGAAUGUUAUCACGGGAGACACACGGCGGGUGCUAACGUCCGUCGUGAAGAGGGAAACAACCCAGACCGCCAGCUAAGGUCCCAAAGUCAUGGUUAAGUGGGAAACGAUGUGGGAAGGCCCAGACAGCCAGGAUGUUGGCUUAGAAGCAGCCAUCAUUUAAAGAAAGCGUAAUAGCUCACUGGUCGAGUCGGCCUGCGCGGAAGAUGUAACGGGGCUAAACCAUGCACCGAAGCUGCGGCAGCGACACUGUGUGUUGUUGGGUAGGGGAGCGUUCUGUAAGCCUGCGAAGGUGGCCUGUGAGGGUUGCUGGAGGUAUCAGAAGUGCGAAUGCUGACAUAAGUAACGAUAAAGCGGGUGAAAAGCCCGCUCGCCGGAAGACCAAGGGUUCCUGUCCAACGUUAAUCGGGGCAGGGUGAGUCGACCCCUAAGGCGAGGCCGAAAGGCGUAGUCGAUGGGAAACGGGUUAAUAUUCCCGUACUUGGUGUUACUGCGAAGGGGGGACGGAGAAGGCUAUGUUGGCCGGGCGACGGUUGUCCCGGUUUAAGCGUGUAGGUGUGUGUUCCAGGUAAAUCCGGUUCACUUUAACACUGAGGCGUGACGACGAGGCACUACGGUGCUGAAGCAACAAAUGCCCUGCUUCCAGGAAAAGCCUCUAAGCAUCAGGUAACACGAAAUCGUACCCCAAACCGACACAGGUGGUCAGGUAGAGAAUACCAAGGCGCUUGAGAGAACUCGGGUGAAGGAACUAGGCAAAAUGGUGCCGUAACUUCGGGAGAAGGCACGCUGAUAUGUAGGUGAAGCGGUUUACCCGUGGAGCUGAAAUCAGUCGAAGAUACCAGCUGGCUGCAACUGUUUAUUAAAAACACAGCACUGUGCAAACACGAAAGUGGACGUAUACGGUGUGACGCCUGCCCGGUGCCGGAAGGUUAAUUGAUGGGGUCAGCGCAAGCGAAGCUCCUGAUCGAAGCCCCGGUAAACGGCGGCCGUAACUAUAACGGUCCUAAGGUAGCGAAAUUCCUUGUCGGGUAAGUUCCGACCUGCACGAAUGGCGUAAUGAUGGCCAGGCUGUCUCCACCCGAGACUCAGUGAAAUUGAACUCGCUGUGAAGAUGCAGUGUACCCGCGGCAAGACGGAAAGACCCCGUGAACCUUUACUAUAGCUUGACACUGAACAUUGAGCCUUGAUGUGUAGGAUAGGUGGGAGGCUUUGAAGUGUGGACGCCAGUCUGCAUGGAGCCGACCUUGAAAUACCACCCUUUAAUGUUUGAUGUUCUAACGUGGACCCGUUACCCGGGUUGCGGACAGUGUCUGGUGGGUAGUUUGACUGGGGCGGUCUCCUCCUAAAGAGUAACGGAGGAGCACGAAGGUUGGCUAAUCCUGGUCGGACAUCAGGAGGUUAGUGCAAUGGCAUAAGCCAGCUUGACUGCGAGCGUGACGGCGCGAGCAGGUGCGAAAGCAGGUCAUAGUGAUCCGGUGGUUCUGAAUGGAAGGGCCAUCGCUCAACGGAUAAAAGGUACUCCGGGGAUAACAGGCUGAUACCGCCCAAGAGUUCAUAUCGACGGCGGUGUUUGGCACCUCGAUGUCGGCUCAUCACAUCCUGGGGCUGAAGUAGGUCCCAAGGGUAUGGCUGUUCGCCAUUUAAAGUGGUACGCGAGCUGGGUUUAGAACGUCGUGAGACAGUUCGGUCCCUAUCUGCCGUGGGCGCUGGAGAACUGAGGGGGGCUGCUCCUAGUACGAGAGGACCGGAGUGGACGCAUCACUGGUGUUCGGGUUGUCAUGCCAAUGGCACUGCCCGGUAGCUAAAUGCGGAAGAGAUAAGUGCUGAAAGCAUCUAAGCACGAAACUUGCCCCGAGAUGAGUUCUCCCUGAGACUUAAAGUCUCCUGAAGGAACGUUGAAGACGACGACGUUGAUAGGCCGGGUGUGUAAGCGCAGCGAUGCGUUGAGCUAACCGGUACUAAUGAACCGUGAGGCUUAACCUUACAACGCCGAAG